GAAAGGCGCUGCAGAGCAGAUUACCGCAUCUCAGCUCCUUAAUACACUGAGCUUGCGUGGAGCGCGUGCAUGAAGCGAACUGGUGGUAACACCAGUUGAAACCCACCACUGCUUCGUGUGCAUGUAUAUCUAAGGUGCUUGCAUGCAGCGCUGAAAAUGGAGUAUUUAGAAGCUCAGCUGCUUACCUUCCAAGUCAACAAUGGAUUAUUUGAGCCCGAGCUGAGAUUGAAGAUUCAGAUAACUGGAUUGAUUAAAUGAUGUUGAAAUAACACCGUUUGAGGAGAUAUUUGAGCAGCUCCUCGGCAAGACUGAUUCAGAGAGAACACAUCUGCUAAUUCCAGAAAAAAACUAAAACAUUGACCUUCUCU